GGUAGCUUCAUUUUGCUCAGAAGAGGAGGCCUACUCACAGCAUUCUCCAAUGACUUGAAGCCCCCCACCCAACAUCCAGUUGGACAUGCUUGGAUUAUCCCCAGUCUUUUUGCUACUUUCAAGGAGGAGCAUGUGCCCACCAAAGUGAGAUCCUGCAUAAUGUUGAGUUCAGUCUUGGCCAUCUCCCCAGUUUCCAGGAGGAGAUCCAAGAGCUGUCCACCAAGAAUCUGCAGCCACCUUUGGGGGUCUUCCAUGGAUUCACUGUGACCAAGGAGACAAGCUGUUACCUAGCAACGUGGCCUUUUAGAGGUAUUGUUACCAGUCUCUUAGAGUUCAUCAGAGGGAUUCUUGUGCUUCUACAGCAGUGUUAAAAGUGAACACUGUUUACAGGGAGUUGGCUAAACUGUCAUUUAACUGAAUCUUCCUUACAGCAAUAUAAAUGAUAGAAAUAAAC